UAUAAUAAUGGGAAAGCAACUCUUCCCACUGAGAAGUGAGUACGCAAGCUGCAGUGGUGUCUUGGAGCAUUCUAAGUUACUGUGAUGACAAGGGUGUCUACAGAGUCCUUGACCUUGUAAGCAGGAAUGGGAUCGAUAGCAUUCACUCAGAAGGGUACGGAAGAACUCACCAGCUGCCAAGAGUAGUCUAAACUCAGUAGCAGUUCAAGCUAGAUAAACCUAAGCACAUGUCAGAACUGAUAGCAUUUGUGAUUUAUUCCAUGCACAAUAGGUAAAUCUUGUUUUAAUUUAAAAAGUGAUCCAUACGCAUACUAUGAACUCUAACUAAUGCUGUAUGCUAAAGUGUUUAGGCAUGAAGUGCAUUAGUCUUCAUUUGUGUUAUAAUGCAUAAACAAAGAUGAACCUGUGAAAACAUGGAAGUGUGGAUAGAGAAAGCAGGACACACCCCAUAUGAAGAAAAUGAAGAAACUCACUUACAGAAUUAAAUGGUAGGCAGUAGGAUUGUCACUGCAGAAUUCUUUAAGCUUUUGAAAUAUUCUAUAGAAAAGUUUUUAUGUGAAAAAAAUAUAGAAGACUUACUUUUGUGAUUUAUUCUGAUAUAUACUGAAGAUAGGAAUUUCUCCCUUUUUUGUCUAUCACAGCUUAAAAGUUUGUGAUAUAUAAACGAUCUUUGAUCUCACUACGUUAAUACCUUUUAAAAUAAAAACUCCAUAUAGGCAAUCCAUUGAUUAAGAACAUUUUUAAUGCUCUGUGGUAAUUGCCUGUCACUGCUAUAGCAAAUGACUAGCAGCUUGUUUAAAACAGAAAACAGAACCGGAGUUUAUUCUCUCACAGUGGUAGUGGAUUGGUGUACUGAAGUCACUUUCACUGGGAGGAAGUCAAAAGUGCCGGCCUGCUGAUGGUUUCCUUUUAGGUCUGGUGGCUGCUGGCAAGUAUUGUGGCAUGGCUGCAUCACUGCAGGCUGCCUCCAUGGUGAUGAAGCCUUCUCUCUGCUAGAGCCAUUGCCAUCCAACUUGCAAGUACCCUCUGGUCAGCACGAAGGCCCAGAUAUACAAUACAGGAUAAUGUUUCAUUUAAGAUAUUAUUUAUAGGCUCUGGGAACUUUGACCUGACAUAUUGGAAGCCAUUGUUUAACCUACUGAAGAAUCAAUCUCUCUCUCUUUUUCUCUCCCUUUCUCCCUCUCUCUUUCUUUUCCUCUCUCUCUCUCUCUCUCUCUCUCUCUUGCUCUCUGUCUGUCUCUGUGUGUGUGUGUUUGUGUGUGCGCACUCUUCUAACUGAAAUGUGCAAAGACUUAAAAUAAUAUUUAACAUUUAACUGCACACUGUCUGCUAAGUUAUGCUAUAUAUGUUCGCUAUAUAUUUUAUGUAUUUAUUUAACCGGGGGGAAUGGGCAUAGUUUCCAUAAAUUCACUUACUAGACCAUACAUUUCUUUUUUGUGUAUGUUAUCUCUUAAUGUUUCAAUGUGAUCAAAAAAAUAAACAAAAAGGUGUGUGGGGUGCCAGUGUUCAAAGUGUCGGCACUAUGAAAAAUGCGCUCUAGGGAAUUCUACUCUGUUCUAAAUGACACCACAGUACUCAUGCGGAGGACUGAAAGUCGACGAGAUUAUGAAUUCCAUUGGGAAGAGACUCCUUCAUCUUCAGUUUGCAUAUCCAGUGGAAACUUUGGUGUUUGGACAUGACAUGCUUGCUUGCAUGACCACCAGAGGAGACUGGCGGAAGUUACCCCUCAGUCUCAGAACUGUAUCACUCAUGUGCAGAGAAACAUGGAGAGCUCACACCUGAACAUUGGAAACAUGUCUAUUAUCAAAACCAGUAGGUUUUCAAAGGGUUGUUUCUGUUUUGUUUUGUUUGUUUUGUGUGUGUAUUUCACAGAGAUGAAGGCUUGCUACAGUGUGCACGGGGACAGGGGAGGAUAAUAGUCAGGAGCUGGUUCUCUGUUUUAUACCACGUGUGUCCUGGGGACUGAUCUUGGGUUCCCAGACUAGGUGGCAAGUGUUUCUACCCACUAAGCCAUCCUUCUGGCUCAUAGAUUUUCUACAUGAGACAUUAAAAAUGUAUAAAAUUCUCAAGCCGUUGAAUAUCUCUGUUUUAUUCCUGUGUCAUAUCUCAGUGUCUCACCCUACCAACUCCUCCUAGAGGUCAGUUUCUCACAGAUCAAGGGCACCAUGGUAUUACAAAGUGGGAGGAGAAUUCGUAAGUGUCAGGGAUAUUUUAAUACUUUUUAAAGCUGUAACCUUUCCUUAGAGACACCUUAAGCACACCUGCUCUCUUGUUAGCUCAUUUUGAGUUUCAGAUCUUGUUAGAGAUGCACCUGCAUUGUGAAUCUUAUGAAUACUUCUGCUCCUUCUCUGCCUCCUUGAAGGCUGAUUCUAAAGUCUCCCACCACCUGUGGAAACUUGCACAUCUGAAUUCCAGUAAUCCCAGACUGUACUUUUUUUUGCCUUUAUUUUAAACCUACUUGGCCUUUCUCAGAUACUUCUCUUUUAGACUUGUAUGCUUUUUUAGAAUAUGACUGGAUAUGGAUAAACAGAUGAUAAAUUUAGAGCCAUCAGUAACUAUUUAGUCUGUGGCUGUAUUGUUCCUUUCAUUUGCAUAGUCUGUCUGUGGUUUAAAUCGAACCAGUAUGCCAGUUAAUGCUUGCCUGAAUGUUGCACAGUUUUGCUUAAAACAAUAACUUCUCAUAGUUUCCCCUUUCUGGACUAUGCCAUGGCUUUAAAUUACCAUUACUUUCCCCAAAGUCUCUAAGGUUGUCAAGUGUCCUAAAUGUAUUGUAUAUCUGAUAUCAGCACAAAGUUAACACC
rnacentral:lncRNA from 1 species